rnacentral:rRNA from 1 species
CGCAUUUAAAGGUGGGGACCCUUCGGGGCCUGCCGCUUGAGGAGGGGCUUAUGCCCUAUUAGUUUGUUGGUGAGGUAACGGCUCACCAAGACGAUGAUGGGUAGCCGGUCUGAGAGGAUGGCCGGUCACACUGGGACUGAGACACUGCCCAGACUCCUACGGGAGGCUGCAGUCGAGAAUCAUUCGCAAUGGGCGAAAGCCUGACGAUGCGACGCCGCGUGUGGGAAGAAGGCCCUCGGGUUGUAAACCGCUGUCAAGAGUUAUGAACCACGGAUCGGUUAAUACCCGGUUCGUCUGACAAAGGCUCUAAAGGAAGCUCCGGCUAACUCCGUGCCAGCAGCCGCGGUAAGACGGAGGGAGCAAGAGUUGUUCGGAAUUACUGGGCAUAAAGCGCGUGUAGGCGGGCCGAUCAGUCAGAGGUGAAAGCCCCCGGCUCAACCGGGGAUGUGCCUUUGAAACUGUCGGUCUUGAGUGCAGAAGGGGAGAGUGGAACUCCUGGUGGAGCGGUGAUAUGCGUAGAUAUCAGGAGGAACGCCAGCGGCGAAAGCGGCUCUCUGGUCUGUUACUGACGCUGAGACGCGAAAGCUAGGGGAGCAAACAGGAUUAGAUACCCUGGUAGUCCUAGCCGUAAACGAUGGGCACUAAGUAGUGGGAGCUCCGAUGUUCUCACUGCCGAAGCUAAUGUGCUAAGUGCCCCGCCUGGGGAGUACGGUCGCAAGGCUAAAACUCAAAGUAAUUGACGGGGGCUCGCACAAGCGGUGGAGGAUGUUGUUUAAUUCGAAUCAACGCGAAGAACCUUACCGGGACUUGACAUCUAGGUGGUAGUGAACCGAAAGGGGAACGACCCGGGAAACCGGGAGCCUAGACAGGUGUUGCAUGGCUGUCGUCAGCUCGUGUCGUGAGAUGUUGGGUUAAGUCCCACAACGAGCGAAACCCCUAUCCCUAGUUGCCAGCGGGUAUGCCGGGGACUCUAGGGAGACUGCCUGUGGUUAACCAGGAGGAAGGUGGGGACGACGUCAAGUCAUCAUGGCCCUUACGUCCCGGGCUACAAACGUCCUACAAUGGGUGGUACAAAGAGAUGCAAGACCGUAAGGUGGAGCCAACCUCAAAAGCCAUCCCCAGUUCGGAUUGAGGGCUGAAAUUCGCCCUCAUGAAGCCGGAAUCGCUAGUAAUCGCGGAUCAGCCACGCCGCGGUGAAUGUGUUCCCGAGCCUUGUACACACCGCCCGUCAAGCCACGAAAGUCGGUAGUGCCUGAAGUCGUUAGCCCAACCCGUAAGGGAGGACAACGCCCACGGUAAGACCGAUGAUUGGGACUAAGUCGGAACAAGGUA